rnacentral:rRNA from 1 species
GUGUCAGCAGCCGCGGUAAAACGUAGGUGGCGAGCGUUAUCCGGAUUUACUGGGCGUAAAGGGUGUGCAGGCGGGCUGUUAAGUGGUGUAUGAAAUCUCCCGGCUCAACCGGGAGCGGUUAUGCCAGACUGGCAGUCUAGAGAGCGAGAGAGGGACGUGGAAUUCCGGGUGUAGUGGUGAAAUGCGUAGAGAUCCGGAGGAACCCCAGAGGCGAAGGCGGCGUCCUGGCUCGCAUCUGACGCUCAGACACGACAGCAUGGGGAGCGAACGGGAUUAGAAACCCCGGUAGUCCAUGCCGUAAACGAUGCCAACUAGGCGCUGGCGGUCUCAACCCCGUCGGUGCCGCAGCAAACGCGAUAAGUUGGCCGCCUGGGGAGUACGGUCGCAAGGCUAAA